rnacentral:sRNA from 1 species
AAGAUACAAAGCCAAAGACUCAUACGGAGUUUAGCUACACCAUCAAAGCUUUGAGAAGAAAAAAGAAGCUUGGUUAGUGUUUUGUAGUCAACUAUGACUAGAUGUCAUGUGUAUGAGUGAGUAUAACAACUAGAACCGGAACCG